CUUUGAAUUGCAAGGUAACAGUGGUGAACUGGGAUCAGUGGGGAUUCUGAAUAGGCAUUAACAAUCAAUAGCCAAUAUAAAAUACAAUGUUGUAGCUCUGAAGUCUCAAUAUGUUGGGUGUAGUUUAACAUGCCACUGAACUCCAUAGUAAAUACUUCCAAUUUCAUAUUGAUUGAACUAAAUUUACAGGUCAUGAUGCAGACUUAAGGAGGCUUUUAUUUGUUAACUCUUUUAUUUGGUAACUUAAUAUCAAGACAUAACUCAGCAUGGAUAUGUUAGUGUUUGUGUACAUCUACUACUUUAAAACACAGGGAGGAAAAAAUACCAGUCCUUUCCUAUUUAUGUUGAAACUUAUUUUAAGAGUUCAGUAUAUUUUCUAAAUAAAAGACAUCUGCCGUAAUAAUUUCUCUUGCUGUUUUUGAAAAAUGAGGCAGUUAAUUUAAUACCACUGGCUCUCACCUCCUCCAAAUCCUCUUCUCCUAGGUACUUUUCUAUUAGUUUUUCUUCCUGAUUUUUAUUUUCUCUUUUAGUUCAUUGGGGUUCCACAGAUGCCUCUUGGAGCGAGGUAACCUAGACCAUUGAUGCAGCAAAGAGCAUCUUCUUUCAAACACCAUACCCACUUAUCAGUGUGAGUUUAAACCAAAACACUGACCUAAACUCACACUGAUAAAUAUUUUAAACAUUUAAUGUUAAUACACUUUUAUCUCCAUAACCGGUUCUUCAGGAAACAAGAUAACCGAAAAGGCACUUAUUUUCUGCAGCUUCUUACACACUUUUGUAAUUACAAGACUGUCCAUGAAUAUAUUACAGUAGAUUUUUUUUCUUUUCCUGCAGGAGCCUAGGAAUGAGAUUAGUUCAUUACCAGAUAAGAGUUCAGUCUCAAAGAUCUUGGUGCAGAAUUUUCUUGUAUGAAUCCAAAAGUUAGCAAGCUUACACCAUUAAUGGAUUGCAUAAAAGCCACAAAUUUGUAUCCAGGAGGAGGUACGUACCCAGCUGCAGGUGAGGACUCCGAGGUACUUUUACCAGCAAAACUCCUAAAGAAUCUCAAGAGUGAUAAACUGUGUAAAGAACAAGAACAUCCUUAGGGGACAACAAGUGGGAUCCCUGCUGGUUCGUUAAUCACUGAGAUUUGCCUGAUAGGUAAGGCAGGGAAUAGCAAUGUAUAAGGCUGAAUCUGUAGCCAGAGAACCCUGUGGUUUUUAAAUGAUCCUUCUGUCCCCAGCUGCAUGAUGCAGGCUUGGCCCUACACGUGAUUCAGAUCAGAGCCAGAGAUAACAGAAUCCAAAACUACAUCUUGUGGCUGUAGAAGCAUCUUCUCCAAAGAUGCUGAACAAAAGGCAUUUUUUGUUCCCUGACCACAUGUCCACAUCGGGCUGAUGAAAGCUCUGUGCUAAAGUAGAAGGAUAAAGAUUUCAUUCCUUGUUUAGUAAGCAUAUACAAUAUAGAAUCUGAAUGUAUUACCUAAAAACUGAAUAUAAAGUAAAUCUAAAACCAAAGGCAUAGUUUGAUGGACCAGGAUAGAAAUUUUGGAUCUAAAACCAGCCUGAUUUUACACUAAUAAAGAAUUUUUUUCUCUGACUGUGAGCAGAAAGAUGAUACCAAUUAAUACCAGACUAUUUACAACAUAGAAAUAACUACAAUAUUGCAUAUACUGGAUUUAUUGAACAAUAACUGUUUACCCAAUUUUGGAAUUUCACAGUACUUAAAUUAUGUGGACUGCUAGCAUGCAUGCUAGUUCGUAAUUUAGUGACAUCUUACAAUUAUUCACAGUAAUGGAAAAAAGUAAACUCUGCAAACAUUUGGACAAUGCCAGAACUCAUCUUCUUAACACAGCUGAACCGACAGCAGCUUCUCUAAAUGAAACAUCAUAUAUUUAAAGUUUUUCACUUUAUUAACAAUAAAUUAAUCUGUGGCAUCACUGAUCAACAAAACACUAAAGAUAUAGUGUGCAGAUUGUCUGUGUAAUGAUCAGUAAGGCAACAUUACCACUACCUUCUUAAGAACUAGAGAAAUGUCAGUGAACUUGUAUACAUUUAUCAUUGUCAACCAUGUGAACACUAAGAAGAAAUGUACUUCCCCAUUUCCCCAAUUUUUCUGUUAAGUAAGGCAAUAAUAAAAAGCACAGCAUGACAAUAAUUUACAACUCUAGGUACCGAGCCCUGACAUAAUGUGGUGCUCAGAGGAAUGUGCAAAAUAAACACCUGAAUUUGCACUUCGAUUCUUCGUUGUGUAAAAGAAAACAAACCAACACAAAGUCACAACUGUUCCUGAUUCCAUUGUCAGGAAAAAGGAAUGAAAAGGUUCUGUGAGAACCCAAAUUGACAAAGCUGUUCUCUCAGCCUGUGGUACCAUUUGGAAUAUCUUGAGCAUCUGCUAAAUGUAGUUUUUGGCUGAAGCAAACCAUUAAGGAAUAACACUUUCAAAGGUAUAAACAAGAUAACAGUGCUGUAUGAAACUGUGCUUACUCUGGGGUAUACACCAGUCCCGACAAAUUCCAUUCCAGUAAGUUCUAUGCUAGUUCUCAACCAGUAGACUAAUAUUCCUCACUGAGACUUAAACAUUGCAAUGCUCCCAGAAUUAGUGUGCAGAUCAAGGGGGAUGGCAAAUUAUUUUUAUUGCUAUUAUGUGAUAUUAUCACAUUCCACUUGUGCUCUUUAUGAGGUCUGCCUUAAACAGCCUUCCACGGAUAUGCAGGAAAUGUUGAUACCAGUGCAAGACCUUAAGCCCCAAACCCAAGUCUCAGCUUACUCAAUGUGUGUAACAAUGGAAAUAACGAGACUGUGGAAUAAACUGAAUACAACGCCCCUCAACUGUCACCUUCGAUUAUCAACAGCACAGUGUUAAAGACAAGUUAAGACAUUCAGUUUUAUCUUCUUCUGUGUGGGCUAAGAGCACACAUUUGUUCAGUUACCAAAGCUCUGCUGAAGUAUCUGACCCUAGAAAUAAAAAAUUAGGUCAGUUUACUAUCCACAGUCAGAUCAGUGAUAAACAACCACACAUAUUUCUAAAAAAACUAAAAGAUAAUAGGAUUCAUUUCUCAAUGGGACAGACACUUCUGAAUACUAUGGGAGUAUUACUGUGGAUGUCUGAAAGUUUCAGCAAGGUGCAUGUCAAAAGACCGUGGUGCUGAUGGGCUUUGCCAGCAAUGGUGAACACAUUGUCUAAAGUGGUACAUGGUAGCUCAGUAAUUCACCACAUGAAAAAAACAACCUGUAAUUACUAGUGUUAAGAUCCAGUCAAUUAUGUACUGGAAGAACCCAAGAUCUAUGCUGUAUUACAGCAUGAAUUUAAAAGAAAAGGCGUCAUUGAAGUGACUUGACUCCAAUAAAGACACCAGUUACUGGGGAAACACACCCUAAUUUGAUUACAGUUAACGAUAACUAUAAUGCAAAAUAGACAUUUUAGGAAAAGGAUACAUAGAUGAAUUCAGUUCUUCUAGCUGCAAUAUAAAUGUAGAAAGUAUCAGAAGUGGCACUUCUGUUAGUCAAAUAAAUGCAACAAUUAUGCUGGUAUGAUGAAAUAAAUAUAUUAAAACAAUGAAGUAAAUAACUAAUAGUUUGGGCUGAAAUGCAUGAUUUAUUAGCAAAGCAAACCUACACUGAAUUACGUACAAGGAGCGAAGUUCCAAAUUUAAGUUAAAAUCUGCUGAUCUGAGGAAAUUUAAAGAAAUUUUUAGUAGUUUUGUUUUUUAUGUAAAUACACUGGAGAACAGAGAGACUGAAAGUGUAGGAUAUACAGAUGUAUAUUCCCUGUUAUGUGUCAUCUUCCCCAGAUGUAGGAGGGUAGACCACAUGGAAAAUGGUCACAGUCCCCUGGUACCUGGGCUGUCUCUGAACAGGCCUACAUGCUCAGGCAGCUUGCAGCUUGCCUGCUCCACUCACCAAAACAAAGCAGCCUGUAACAAAUGCAAACAAGGUCCUGUGUUUCCUCAAAACCAAGAUGAGGGCAGGGCUUUCACACUGGUUCAUUACAGAACUAUGUUCUCCUCAACUGUAAAUCACUGCCCACCCAGUAGCAGUGCUUUUCUGAGCUGAAUGCUGGGGGCAAAGUUCCACAUUUUCUGCCUGCCCAGUACUUACAUCUGACAGCAGCCUAUCCAGGUUGGAAUCACUGGCUAGUUUUCUUUUAUCUUCGGGCAGUUCUUCCAUCUCCCCGUAGAGCUCCAGGUUGAGGCGAGCAAGUUUCUCCUGCAUACUCCGUACAUGCUCCAUCUGCUCUAUGGAACAUUCAUUUCCUAAAAGGAAGAGCAACAGCUUUAGAUAAAGAAACCCGAGAGAGCAAAUGAAGGUGUGAAGAUGCAGCUUUUUAUGUCAGAGGAGUUUAAACAUCAAAUUUACAAGUAAAUGUCCUUUCUCAGUGAUUUCUCACUGUUUCACUACUGAA